UACGUAGGGACCAAGCGUUGUUCGGAUUUACUGGGCGUAAAGGGCGCGUAGGCGGCUUGACAAGUCACUUGUGAAAUCUCCGGGCUUAACUCGGAACGGCCAAGUGAAACUGUCAUGCUAGAGUGCAGAAGGGGCAAUCGGAAUUCUUGGUGUAGCGGUGAAAUGCGUAGAUAUGCGGAGGAACACCGAUGGCGAAGGCAAUCCCCUGGGCCUGCACUGACGCUCAUGCACGAAAGCGUGGGGAGCAAACAGG
rnacentral:rRNA from 1 species